UACGUAGGUGACCAGCGUUGUUCGGAAUUACUGGGCGUAAAGGGCGCGUAGGCGGCCCGCUAAGUCGAACGUGAAAUCCCCGAGCUCAACUCGGGAACUGCGUCCGAUACUGGCGGGCUUGAAUCCGGGAGAGGGAUGCGGAAUUCCAGGUGUAGCGGUGAAAUGCGUAGAUAUCUGGAGGAACACCGGUGGCGAAGGCGGCAUCCUGGACCGGCAUUGACGCUGAGGCGCGAAAGCUAGGGGAGCAAACGGG
rnacentral:rRNA from 1 species